CAUGGCUGUUAUGUCCAGCCAAGAGGCCACCACGAGGAGGCCAGCACCACAAGGAACACGUACAGCCCCAUUAAUCAAGCUUCAUCAUCCAUAUCAUGACAAGGAGACACCAUCACCAUGCCACUUUACUUCCUCAUGUGGCGAUGGAGAAUCUUCGAUGGAGCUUGACCUUCGUACGAGUCGGAGAGGAGAACUUGAAGAACUGUGGAAGACUUGAAGAAUAGAGUCGGGUGUAGAGUUAAAGCCUUGAGUUAGAGAGCUAACAGUUAUUGGUUUAAGCUGGCAUAACGAUUUUAGAAAUUUAUAUUUGGGGUUUCGGGUACUCGCCUUGUUCAAGGCUUGAUGUAAAUCCCUUUGUAGUUGGGAGUAUGCAUGACAUGUUUUGGAAAUACAUUUGAAAAGAAAAAAAUAUACUCGUGUUUAUACAUUCUUUUGGAAAAUAUUGCAUAUUCACCUUAUCAGAUUGUUACCGUAACCCCUUGAAAUUCGAGGCGUUACACUCGCCUGCGAGGCGACACAGGCAUAAAGGCCAUGCUGUAUUUGUGGUUGUCAUGAACUUGAACUGCUUCAGAAGUGGCUCGGUCAGACAAGGAGUGAUCAUGGGUUAGGAGCACCUCUUUGGCAAGGUCAGGUGAAGAGACAACUAUGGUGGUUACUUGACCAAGCUUUAGGGUCAUGAUGGGGCCGUGAACCUUGGCCAGGUUGGCCAAGGAUUGGUGAGGCAUUUCGCCAAGUGCAAGAAGGUUUCCAAUUAUGGGGAGAGGGUCAGGUCCUGGUGGAAGCUUGUACUUUGGUUUUGUGCUGCCUCUGAAUACUCUUGAAUACAAAGCUUGUGUAAGGGUGAAUGUCAACGCAAGGAGCUGGAGCAUACAACUUAGGAACUUCAUGUUUUGAUCCACCUGAAUCCAUCAAAUAAAGUGAUAUUAGAAUUUGUGAGGUCUAACUCUACCUGAAAAGCAAGAUCAAGAGGUGACUCUUCUCAUAUAUUACGGUCAUCUCGGUUUAAUAAUUUGUCAAUGUUGAACUUCUCAACACUUAAUUAAGAAUACUAUUGAAUGUGUUGUAGUGUA